AUCCAGACUCCUACGGGAGGCAGCAGUGGGGGAUAUUGCACAAUGGGGGAAACCCUGAUGCAGCGACGCCGCGUGGGUGAAGAAGCGCCUCGGCGCGUAAAGCCCUCUCAGCAGGAAAGAAAAUGACGGUACCUGACUAAGAAGCCCCGGCUAACUACGUGCCAGCAGCCGCGGUAAUACGUAGGGGGCAAGCGUUAUCCGGAUUUACUGGGUGUAAAGGGAGCGUAGACGGCAGUGCAAGUCCGGAGUGAAAGCCCGGGGCUCAACCCUGGGACUGCUCUUGGAACUGCGUGGCUAGAGUGCAGGAGGGGCAGGCGGAAUUCCUGGUGUAGCGGUGAAAUGCGUAGAUAUCAGGAGGAACACCGGUGGCGAAGGCGGCCUGCUGGACUGCAACUGACGUUGAGGCCCGAAAGCGUGGGGAGCAAACAGGAUUAGAUACCCUGGUACUC
rnacentral:rRNA from 1 species